CCUGGCGGCGAGUGGCGAACGGGUGANUAAUAUAUCGGAACGUACCCAGAAGUGGGGGAUAACGUAGCGAAAGUUACGCUAAUACCGCAUACGAUCUACGGAUGAAAGUGGGGGACCUUCGGGCCUCAUGCUUGUGGAGCGGCCGAUAUCUGAUUAGCUAGUUGGUGAGGUAAAGGCUCACCAAGGCGACGAUCAGUAGCUGGUCUGAGAGGACGACCAGCCACACUGGGACUGAGACACGGCCCAGACUCCUACGGGAGGCAGCAGUGGGGAAUUUUGGACAAUGGGCGCAAGCCUGAUCCAGCAAUGCCGCGUGAGUGAAGAAGGCCUUCGGGUUGUAAAGCUCUUUUGUCAGGGAAGAAACGGCCGAGGCUAAUACCUUUGGCUAAUGACGGUACCUGAAGAAUAAGCACCGGCUAACUACGUGCCAGCAGCCGCGGUAAUACGUAGGGUGCAAGCGUUAAUCGGAAUUACUGGGCGUAAAGCGUGCGCAGGCGGUUUUGUAAGUCUGACGUGAAAUCCCCGGGCUCAACCUGGGAAUUGCGUUGGAGACUGCAAGGCUGGAGUCUGGCAGAG
rnacentral:rRNA from 1 species